CAGCGGAAGUGUAAUUUCUGUAACAGCAGAGAAAAGUUCAUUCUCGCUUCUCGCAGGCCUAGAGAAGACAUAGAUCAGCCAUCGGUCUUCUGCUUGGAUAUGUAUUUAUCUGACUUCAAGCCGUGGGCCCAGUUAAGUUGGCAAAUUGUUUUGAACGAAUAUGUCGCCUGGCAAUGUCGAAUUACAUGAUGUGGGCUUGAAGCUGGAUAUGGAUCCUGAAUGUGCGUCUUUCUGAGGCAACGGGACAUGUGAAUGGAUGGUUCCUCCAAACAUGGAGCAUGGACUUCGCCAUGCUUUUCGGUGGCACGUGGUCGACGGCAUGGGAUGAAGGACUCGACUCGUGAGGCCAAGAGCGAGGUAUCGCGAGGAAGCUUCGGAGCAAAGGAUGAAUGACUUGACAUCACUGAAGCCCAACAAUGCAACGCUUGACUUCAAACAAAGGGUGAACAAAGGGGGCCAUCAGGUGGACUACACAUUUGUGUGCAUGAGGGCGAGCAAAAAUAAAAUCAUUAUCUUUGGAA